rnacentral:rRNA from 1 species
AUCGCAUCCUGGGGCUGUAGUCGGUCCCAAGGGUUGGGCUGUUCGCCCAUUAAAGCGGUACGCGAGCUGGGUUCAGAACGUCGUGAGACAGUUCGGUCCCUAUCCGUCGUGGGCGCAGGAAAUUUGAGAGGAGCUGUCCUUAGUACGAGAGGACCGGGAUGGACGCACCGCUGGUGUACCAGUUGUCUUGCCAAAGGCAUAGCUGGGUAGCUACGUGCGGACGGGAUAAGUGCUGAAAGCAUCUAAGCAUGAAGCCCCCCUCAAGAUGAGAUUUCCUUUUGCUUCGGCAAGUAAGAUCCCUGAAAGAUGAUCAGGUAGAUAGGUUCGAGGUGGAAGCGUGGCGACACGUGCAGCUGACGAAUACUAAUCGAUCGAGGACUUAACCCAA